rnacentral:misc_RNA from 1 species
GAUGAAGAACGCAGCGAAAUGCGAUAAGUAAUGUGAAUUGCAGAAUUCAGUGAAUCAUCGAAUCUUUGAACGCACAUUGCGCCCCUUGGUAUUCCGAGGGGCAUGCCUGUUCGAGCGUCAUUAUAACCCUCAAGCUCAGCUUGGUGUUGGGGCCUGCUGCACUGGCAGCCCUUAAAAUCAGUGGCGGCGCCAUCUGGCUCUAAGCGUAGUAAUUCUUCUCGCUAUGGAGUCCUGGUGGAUGCUUGCCAUCAACCCCCAAUUUUUCUAUGGUUGACCUCGGAUCAGGUAGGGAUACCCGCUGAAAUUAAGCAUAUCAAUAAGCGGAGGA